rnacentral:rRNA from 1 species
CUAGGAGAUGAUGGCUAUGCAUGUCGUCCAGAUGUUCUUCCACCCUUCAGGAAAAUCAGGUACCAUCUAAAUGAGAUCUUGGGUAGGAACUAUCCUAGGACUCCUCAGGAACUAUUCAAUCUCAGACACUCUAGCCUUAGAGUAAUGGUUGAGGGGGCAUUUGGAGCUCUGAAGAAUAGGUUUAUGAUCCUAGAUCAGAAGACAUUCCACCCUUACCCUACCGAGGUUAAACAUGUUCUUGCAUGUUGUAUCAUUCACAACUAGAUCCUACAAUGGGGAACAGAUGAACUUAUGCCGGAGGAGGAAGAUGUGAUGCCUGAUGAU